AACUGUCGAUGGAACACUCCUCCUCCCAGUUCCAUCGCGGGAUCGGCAACCCUCCUCCUCCCAGUUGCCGGUCAGGAUCGAAAGCCCGGCGCACCUCCUCCCGCGCCGGGUUUUCUCU
rfam:Sinorhizobium meliloti 1021 plasmid pSymB